rnacentral:rRNA from 1 species
UAUAUUGAGAGUUUGAUCCUGGCUCAGGAUGAACGUUGGCGGCGUGAUUAAGGCAUGCAAGUCGAGCGAUCGGUAUUGACUUCGGUUGAUAUACGGAGCGGCAAACGGGUGAGUAACACAUUAGUAAUCUACCUUCGAGACGGGAAUAGCCCAUUGAAAAAUGGAUUAAUGCCCGAUAGCCAUGGGGGGUCAUAUGACCCGCCCAUGUAAAUCCUUCGGGGCUUGAAGAGGAGCUUAUGUCUGAUUAGCUAGUUGGUAGGGUAAAGGCCUACCAAGGCUAUGAUCAGUAGCAGGCGUGAGAGCGUGACCUGCCUCACUGGGACUGAGACACUGCCCAGACUCCUACGGGAGGCUGCAGUCGUGAAUAUUCCGCAAUGGACGAAAGUCUGACGGAGCGACGCCGCGUGCAGGAAGACGCCCUUCGGGGUGUAAACUGCUUUUAUAUGGGAAGAAUUUGUGACGGUACCAUAUGAAUAAGAGGUUGCUAACUCUGUGCCAGCAGCAGCGGUAAUACAGAGACCUCAAACGUUAUCCGGAUUCAUUGGGCGUAAAGCGUCCGUAGGUGGUUUGAUAAGUUGAUGGUUAAAUUCUGGAGCUUAACUUCAGAACUGCCACCAAAACUAUCAAACUUGAGGCUGGGAGAGGCAAGCGGAAUUCUCGGUGUAGUCGUAAUAAGCGCUGAUAUCGAGAAGAACACCAAAGGCGAAGGCAGCU